CGCGAAUCAGCAUGUCGCGGUGAAUACGUUCCCGGGCCUUGUACACACCGCCCGUCACACCAUGAGAGUUGGUAACACCCGAAGUCCGUGAGGUAACCGUAAGGAGCCAGCGGCCGAAGGUGGGAUUGAUGAUUGGGGUGAAGUCGUAACAAGGUAGCCGUAGGAGAACCUGCGGCUGGAUCACCUCCUUUCUAGGGAG
rnacentral:rRNA from 2 species